UCCACCUCUGGCCGUGAUAGCCGCCUGC
rnacentral:sRNA from 1 species